CUUGCUUCUCUUGAGAGCGGCGGACGGGUGAGUAAUGCCUAGGAAUCUGCCUGGUAGUGGGGGAUAACGUUCGGAAACGGACGCUAAUACCGCAUACGUCCUACGGGAGAAAGCAGGGGACCUUCGGGCCUUGCGCUAUCAGAUGAGCCUAGGUCGGAUUAGCUAGUUGGUGAGGUAAUGGCUCACCAAGGCGACGAUCCGUAACUGGUCUGAGAGGAUGAUCAGUCACACUGGAACUGAGACACGGUCCAGACUCCUACGGGAGGCAGCAGUGGGGAAUAUUGGACAAUGGGCGAAAGCCUGAUCCAGCCAUGCCGCGUGUGUGAAGAAGGUCUUCGGAUUGUAAAGCACUUUAAGUUGGGAGGAAGGGUUGUAGAUUAAUACUCUGCAAUUUUGACGUUACCGACAGAAUAAGCACCGGCUAACUCUGUGCCAGCAGCCGCGGUAAUACAGAGGGUGCAAGCGUUAAUCGGAAUUACUGGGCGUAAAGCGCGCGUAGGUGGUUUGUUAAGUUGGAUGUGAAAUCCCCGGGCUCAACCUGGGAACUGCAUUCAAAACUGACUGACUAGAGUAUGGUAGAGGGUGGUGGAAUUUCCUGUGUAGCGGUGAAAUGCGUAGAUAUAGGAAGGAACACCAGUGGCGAAGGCGACCACCUGGACUAAUACUGACACUGAGGUGCGAAAGCG
rnacentral:rRNA from 1 species